rnacentral:rRNA from 1 species
UUAAGUUAAUAAGGGCGCACGGUGGAUGCCUUGGCACUAGGAGCCGACGAAGGACGUGACAAACGACGAUAUGCCUUGGGUAGCUGUAAGUAAGCGAUGAUCCAGGGAUUUCCGAAUGGGGGAACCCAACAGGUAAUACCUGUUACCCACAUCUGUUAAGGAUGUGAGGAGGAAGACGCAGUGAACUGAAACAUCUAAGUAGCUGCAGGAAGAGAAAGCAAAAGCGAUUGCCUUAGUAGCGGCGAGCGAAACGGCAGAAGGGCAAACCGAAGAGUUUACUCUUCGGGGUUGUAGGACUGCAAUGUGGACUCAAAGAUUAUAGAAGAAUGAUUUGGGAAGAUCAGCCAAAGAGAGUAAUAGCCUCGUAUUUAAAAUAGUCUUUGUACUUAGCAGUAUCCUGAGUACGGCGGGACACGUGAAAUCCCGUCGGAAUCUGGGAGGACCAUCUCCCAACCCUAAAUACUCCCUAGUGACCGAUAGUGAACCAGUACCGUGAGGGAAAGGUGAAAAGCACCCCGGGAGGGGAGUGAAAUAGAACCUGAAACCGUGCGCCUACAACAAGUUCGAGCCCGUUAAUGGGUGAGAGCGUGCCUUUUGUAGAAUGAACCGGCGAGUUACGUUAUGAUGCGAGGUUAAGUUGAAGAGACGGAGCCGUAGGGAAACCGAGUCUGAAUAGGGCGCCUUAGUAUCAUGACGUAGACCCGAAACCAUGUGACCUACCCAUGAGCAGGUUGAAGGUGCGGUAAGACGCACUGGAGGACCGAACCAGGGCACGUUGAAAAGUGCUUGGAUGACUUGUGGGUAGCGGAGAAAUUCCAAACGAACUUGGAGAUAGCUGGUUCUCUCCGAAAUAGCUUUAGGGCUAGCGUCGACAUUAGAGAUUCUUGGAGGUAGAGCACUGUUUGGGUGAGGGGUCCAUCCCGGAUUACCAAUCUCAGAUAAACUCCGAAUGCCAAUGAAUUAUGGUCGGCAGUCAGACUGCGAGUGCUAAGAUCCGUAGUCGAAAGGGAAACAGCCCAGACCACCAGCUAAGGUCCCAAAAUAAUUGUUAAGUGGAAAAGGAUGUGGGGUUGCACAGACAACUAGGAUGUUAGCUUAGAAGCAGCUAUUCAUUCAAAGAGUGCGUAAUAGCUCACUAGUCGAGUGACCCUGCGCCGAAAAUGUACCGGGGCUAAAACAAUUUACCGAAGCUGUGGAUACCUUUAUAGGUAUGGUAGGAGAGCGUUCUAUGUGUGAUGAAGGUAUACCGUGAGGAGUGCUGGAACGCAUAGAAGUGAGAAUGCCGGUAUGAGUAGCGAAAGACAGGUGAGAAUCCUGUCCACCGUAAGACUAAGGUUUCCAGGGGAAGGCUCGUCCGCCCUGGGUUAGUCGGGACCUAAGGAGAGACCGAAAGGUGUAUCCGAUGGACAACAGGUUGAUAUUCCUGUACUAGAGUAUGUAGUGAUGGAGGGACGCAGUAGGCUAACUAAAGCAGACGAUUGGAAGAGUCUGUCUAAGCAGUGAGGUGUGAAUUGAGUCAAAUGCUUAAUUCUAUAACAUUGAGCUGUGAUGGGGAGCGAAGUUUAGUAGCGAAGUUAGUGACGUCACACUGCCAAGAAAAGCUUCUAGCGUUUAAACAUACUCUACCCGUACCGCAAACCGACACAGGUAGUCGAGGCGAGUAGCCUCAGGUGAGCGAGAGAACUCUCGUUAAGGAACUCGGCAAAAUGACCCCGUAACUUCGGGAGAAGGGGUGCUGACUUAAAGUCAGCCGCAGUGAAUAGGCCCAAGCAACUGUUUAUCAAAAACACAGCUCUCUGCUAAAUCGUAAGAUGAUGUAUAGGGGGUGACGCCUGCCCGGUGCUGGAAGGUUAAGAGGAGUGCUUAGCGUAAGCGAAGGUAUGAAUUGAAGCCCCAGUAAACGGCGGCCGUAACUAUAACGGUCCUAAGGUAGCGAAAUUCCUUGUCGGGUAAGUUCCGACCCGCACGAAAGGCGUAAUGAUUUGGGCACUGUCUCAACGAGAGACUCGGUGAAAUUUUAGUACCUGUGAAGAUGCAGGUUACCCGCGACAGGACGGAAAGACCCCAUGGAGCUUUACUGCAGUUUGAUAUUGAGUGUCUGUACCACAUGUACAGGAUAGGUAGGAGUCUAAGAGAUCGGGACGCCAGUUUCGAAGGAGACGCUGUUGGGAUACUACCCUUGUGUUAUGGCCACUCUAACCCAGAUAGGUGAUCCCUAUCGGAGACAGUGUCUGACGGGCAGUUUGACUGGGGCGG